GUCCUCUUGGGAUUGCACCUGGAGAGUUUCCAGUACUCUACCAGACUUGGUUAUGGCAGAGAGAGUCAAGCAGAGGCCUAUCCAUUCCAUUCCUAGCUUAAGCAAUGGCUAGCAAGUGGAAGACAAUCAGCUACAUGG
rfam:Ornithorhynchus anatinus chromosome 7, whole genome shotgun sequence.